GAAAAAUAAUCCGUUACAUUUUCGUUAAUAAUUAUUUGUCUGCUUUUUCGUAUCAACUCGCCGAAAUCUUUUAUCGCCCAAUUAAUCACUAAAAAUAAUCUGUAGUAUAUGUUUAGUUCAAUUUCAGACUUGAGUAAUUGACUAAUUGACUACUCUUUUAAUCCCUUGCUGCGCGAGCGAGUUUUUCUUCAGGACCCGACCUUCUUUAAACAUUUACGGUAUCCUGUUGGUUCCGUUUUAUAGGGAAGGGUUUACUCAAAGCAACCUAUGUCAUUUAACUGUUGCGAUCCUCCAGACAUUGCUCAAUUUCAACUGUCAUGUCAGUUCUCAAUACUAGGGAUUCGAAAAGGAUGAGGCUUCGAAAUGUGAUGUUGCGUCUGGAGUUCUUACAAGGAUUUUUUCAGUGUUUUCGUCUCUUCUAGAAGGAAUAAUACAGCACAAUUAAUUCCAAUCAUGGCAUGCAUUCUACGAGACCAAUUAAAAGCUUCUGUUUUUUAAAGAUAUUUGUUAAAGAUUAACUUCAUGUUGAGUUUCGUUAAACAUAGCAUUGGUAAGUGCUGGAAUAUAACUGUCCUUCAAACGGUUCGAAAUGAAAGAUUUAUUCAUUCACCGAAGAAACGAGUCAAAUGACUCAAAUGUCAAAUGUGACCCAUCCCCAGCAACGUCAACCUGCAGAAAGAAAAAGGCCGG